rnacentral:rRNA from 1 species
AUAUUGCGCAAUGGGCGAAAGCCUGACGCAGCAACGCCGCGUGGAUGAUGAAGUUCUUCGGAAUGUAAAAUCCUUUUGCAGGGGACGAAUAUGCUGGCUUGCCAGCACUGACGGUACCUUGCGCAUAAGCCACGGCUAACUCUGUGCCAGCAGCCGCGGUGAUACAGGGGUGGCGAGCGUUGUCCGGCUUUACUGGGGGUAAAGGGUGCGCAGGCGGACCGAUAAGUCGGGGGUUACAUCCAUGUGCUUAACACAUGCACGGCUUCCGAUACUGUCGGUCUAGAGUCUCGAAGAGGAAGGUGGCAUCUCCGGUGUAACGGUGGAAGGUGUAGAUAUCGGAAAGAACACCAGUGGCGAAGGCAGCCUCCUGGUCGAGAACUGACGCUCAUGCACGAAAGCGUGGGGAGCAAACA